AUUGAACGCUGGCGGCAGGCCUAACACAUGCAAGUCGAACGGUAACAGGGAUCAGCUUGCUGAUUCGCUGACGAGUGGCGGACGGGUGAGUAAUGUCUGGGAAACUGCCUGAUGGAGGGGGAUAACUACUGGAAACGGUAGCUAAUACCGCAUAACGUCGCAAGACCAAAGAGGGGGAACUUCGGGCCUCUUGCCAUCCGAUGUGCCCAGAUGGGAUUAGCCAGUAGGUGGGGUAAAGGCUCACCUAGGCGACGAUCCCUAGCUGGUCUGAGAGGAUGACCAGCCACACUGGAACUGAGACACGGUCCAGACUCCUACGGGAGGCAGCAGUGGGGAAUAUUGCACAAUGGGCGCAAGCCUGAUGCAGCCAUGCCGCGUGUAUGAAGAAGGCCUUCGGGUUGUAAAGUACUUUCAGCGGGGAGGAAGGGAGUAAAGUUAAUACCUUUGCUCAUUGACGUUACCCGCAGAAGAAGCACCGGCUAACUCCGUG
rnacentral:rRNA from 1 species